GCCUCCCAGGUCCCAUUCGGUCCUCUACUCUUUUAUCAAUCCUCCAUUCAAAACUACUCUCCAGAAGCACUUUUUCUUUCGCUCUCUACCCGUUUCUCAAUUAUGAUCUAGGAAAUAUCAGCAAGACCUAACCUUAUUAUUCUUGUUUCUUACAUACGCUGCAUCAUGACCAGUAUUGCUCCAUUGCUCUUUAGGACCCGUACCUUUCUCUUCAAACCCCAAUGUCUGUUUCAUUUUCUUUCUUUUCUUUUCCAUUCUGACACUCUAAGGUAUUACCACUCAUUUCAGUCCCAGAUAACCUUCUUUAUAACCAUCUUCAUUUAUUAGGUCAAAUGUAAAAGAACAACCAGCAGCACCCUAAUUGAUUUCUAGCAACCGGCCACCUCCACAUUUUCUUUUAAAGAAUUGUUGCAAUAGGGCUAAAAAUUUUUGGUUUUCGUGUUGCCGUAUAUAAAUGAGGCCUUGCCACACCUGUAAUAAGGUAUCCUCAAUUCGCGGAAAUUCGACAGUUGACCGGGUCUGCAAAUUUCGGGCCAGACAGACCCGUUACCGGAAAAGUCUCCGAAUUGGACCGAGGUUUUGGCUAGCCCCCCAUUGUCAGACGUCCCGAGCGCGUUACCGAAGUCAGAAUUGGCAAAGGUGAGCCGGGACAGCCUUCUUCCUCCGCCCAGCCGCCUCAGUGAUUGUCGUCAAGUAUGCUACAGGAGGAUUUUAUUUUGGUUAACCUGCUUUUUUCCUUCACAGGUUGUUUAUCGAUAUUUGUGUAAUUUUAUUUACUCCUAGAAUUUCCGCAUGUGUUAGAAGUAUUUAUUUGAUUAUGGUCUGUAAUAUUAUUAUCAUGUUGGACCUGUAAACGUAUAAUGAUAUGCAUGUUUGAUGGAUUGGAUGAGGGAGCUGAGCUCCCAUUUAUUUUUAUGA